UACAGAGGGUGCGAGCGUUAAUCGGAAUUACUGGGCGUAAAGAGCUCGUAGGCGGUCUGUCGCAUCGGAUGUGAAAACCCAGGGCUCAACCCUGGGCCUGCAUUCGAUACGGGCAGACUAGAGUUCGGUAGGGGAGACUGGAAUUCCUGGUGUAGCGGUGAAAUGCGCAGAUAUCAGGAGGAACACCGGUGGCGAAGGCGGGUCUCUGGGCCGAAACUGACGCUGAGGAGCGAAAGCGUGGGGGGCGAACAGG
rnacentral:rRNA from 1 species